rnacentral:rRNA from 1 species
GACGAACGCUGGCGGCGUGCUUAACACAUGCAAGUCGAACGGAAAGGCCCCUUUGGGGGUACUCGAGUGGCGAACGGGCGAGUAACACGUGAGUAACCUGCCCUUGACUUCGGGAUAACUUCAGGAAACUGGGGCUAAUACCGGAUAGGAAUCCUUGCUGCAUGGUGGGGGUUGGAAAGCUUCGGCGGUUUUGGAUGGACUCGCGGCUUAUCAGCCUGUUGGUGGGGUAGUGGCUUACCAAGGCUUUGACGGGUAGCCGGCCUGAGAGGGCGACCGGCCACAUUGGGACUGGGAUACGGCCCAGACUCCUACGGGAGGCAGCAGGGGGGAAUAUUGCACAAUGGGCGGAAGCCUGAUGCAGCAACGCCGCGUGCGGGAUGACGGCCUUCGGGUUGGAAACCGCUUUCAGCAGGGGCGAAGCUUGUGGUGACGGUACCUGCAGAAGAAGCACCGGCUAACUACGUG